CGCUGGCGGCGUGCUUAACACAUGCAAGUCGAACGAAGCACUUUGCUCGAUUUCUUCAGAUUGAAAUUUUCCUGACUGAGUGGGAGACGGGUGAGUACCGCCUGGCUACCCUGCCUCACCCACGGGGAUAACAGAUAUAAACAGCUGCUGGUACCGCAUAAUCGCACGUUACCGCGUGGUACAGUGUGAAAAACUCCGGUGGUGAGACAUGGACCCACAUCUGAUUAGCUAGAUGGCACCGGCAACGGCCUACCAUGGCUACGAUCUCUGACCGACCUGACACGGUGACCGGCCUCAUUGGCACUGAAACCCCGCCCAGACUCCUACGGGAAGCGACAUUGGGGCAAUAUUGCACAAGGCGGAAAACCCUGAUGCACCUACACCACGAGAGCCAAGAAGUAUGUCAGCUUCUUUUGCUCUAUCAUCAAGUCAAGAAAAGAUGACCCUACCUGACUAACAUUCACCGGCUAGAUACGUGCCAUCCGCCCCGGCAAUACCUAUGGUGCAAACGAUAUCCGCAUUUACUGGAUGUAUAGGGAGCGCAGGCAGAAUGCUAAGUCUGAUGUGACAGCCUCGAGGCUCAUCCCCGGCACUGCAUUGGAUACUGGUCAUCCAGAGUGUCUUAGGGGUAAGUGGAAUUCGUAGUGUAGCGAUGAAAUGCGUAGAUAUUAGGAGUAACAUCAGUGGCGAAGCUGGCUUAGUGAACGAUAACUGACGAUGAGGCUCGAAAGCGUGGGGAGCAAACAGGAUUAGAUACACUGGUAGUACACGCCGUAAAGUAUGACAUAGUAGGUGUAGGAAAGCACAGCUUUUCGGUGCUGCCGCAACGGCAUUAAGUAUUCCACAUGGGGAGUACGUUGGCAAGAAUGAAACUCAAAGGAAUUGUCGGGGAACCGCACAAGCGGUGGAGCAUGUGGUUUAAUUUGAAGCAACGCGAAGAGCUUUACCAAGUCUUGACAUCCCGGUGACCGGACAGUAAUGUGUCGUUUUAUUCGGAACACCGGUGACAGUUGGUGCAUGGUUGUCGUCAGCUUGUGUAGUGAGAUGUUGGGUUAAGUCCCGCAACGAGCGCAACCAUUAUCCCCAGUAGCCAGAGGUUCGGCCGGGCUCUGUGAGGAGAUUGCCAGGGAUAACCUGGAGGAAGGUGGGGAUGACGUCAAAUCAUCAUGCUCAUUAUGACCUGGGCUUCACACGUGAUACAAUGGUGUAAACAAAGGGAAGAGAGACCGUGAGGCGGAGCAAAUCCCAAAAAUAACGUAUCAGUUUGGAAUGUAGUAUGCAACUCGACUACACGAAGCCGGAAUCGUUAGUAAUCGCAGAUCAGAAUGUUGCGGUGAAUACGUUGCCGGGUUUUGUACACACCGCCCGUCACACCAUGGGAGUCGGAAAUGCCGGAAGUCAGUGACCCAACCGCAAGGAGGGAGCUGCCGAAGGCAGGUUCGAUAACUGGGGUGAAG
rnacentral:rRNA from 1 species